UGUGUGUCACGUGACUUGUGUGCGCGUGAGAGUGAAGAGGCGCUCUCACACUGCAGUCACAGUGAGCGUGUGUGUUGAGCAGAGUCUCUCUGUCUGUCGCGUACACACCGCCGCAGGUGUGUGUGUGUGUGUGUUCGCUCGAGGACUCUCUCUCUGGAUCUAACGCGCUGUGGAUGUGUUUCAGUCCGCUGGAGAUGUGUAUGUCUUCUGGAGGAUCAUAACGUGUGGAAUAAACUCUCUCCCUCAUCAGGACUGACAGAAGAGGCAGCAGCAGCAGCAGUGCUCCGGUAACGAUCCUCUGACUCUGGACACACUCUCUCUAUCACGGGCUUCUGGCGGAACAGCGAGCGUCAUCAUAUAUAGAAACACAUCUGCUCUUUAUAAUGCCUUUAACGAUGGGUCCACCCUGACUUCGCGUCGUGCUUCCUGAAGAAAGGAAAAGCCCUGAUGUGCUUGUCACCUGAGCUGAUGGCCGGGGCUGCGUGAUGGAGUCCGAAUGUCUUCACUCGGCCCCUCUUCAGACACUCAAAGGCCGCUCUGUUUCAGCCUGAUGACGAGCCGAUUGGAUAUAAUCUUGAGCGGCGGACUCAGGAGAUGGGGAGGGAGAGGGAAACUCUACAGUAGGCUUUGCAGGGAAGGAUCGUCUUUCUCCAGAAGUAGGAAACGAGCGUCGGAGGGUUCCUGCUGCCAGUCGGCUCUCUCCUCCUGUUACGACACAGGACCAAAUUCAAACCAUGUGUCCUCGCACCCGGUUAGCUGCUUUUGCCCACCUCUAGCAUUAGCAGUCUGGACGGAUCCAUUUCACUGCCCCUCUCCCGUGCUGCGUUCUCAUUCUCCCAGCCCCAAAUGAGCCUCUCCGUGGGACUCCUGGCUUAAUAGGCUGGAACUUUCCCAUGUCCGGUCUCCGAAGGUGGUUGUUAUCCUCCGAGGGCCCCUGUACGAGUUUCAAGCUCUGGCUCAUGUUAUGGGCUGGGCGAGGUGAACUCCAGGAUGUCAGAUGUGAUGCUUCACACAGAUGUUCACGGUAGUGUCUGAGCAGACGGCUGGUUUCUCCACAUCAUGGAUUGGUCAGAGAUAUCAUAGGUGGAUUUCAGUUGUGUGGACAUGCUUUGACUGCAGAUACUGGAUUACUCGGACUCUUUUCUACUUUACGUCAUGUGUUUUCUUCUGGUUUGUCAGUACACUGUUCCACUGUCAAGUUAAAAUACACAAUACACGUAUGGAGUAGUUAUGAUGUUGAAACUCCUGUAUACUCCACCCAUACAUGCCCUACUAACUAAAGUUUAUAUGUGCCAGGGACUAGAUCUAAUAAAUAUUUGUGUAAUGUAAACUGUGCCAGUAUUUAAAUAAUAUAGCAAUGUUGUUUUAUAAAGAUAUGAGGCACUUUGUUGUAAAUGACUACAGUAUAUCUCAAUAUAAUGCACCCUCUUGUACAAUAUUGCUACCUUUUAAUAUAGAAAUAUUUUUUUACAUACAGGUGUGUAUAAAUGAUAUAUUAUUUUUUUAAACUGUCCUGAAUUUUUGCUUAAAUAAAAAGGUGGAUUGAAGCAAA